GCCCCGGGAUGACUCUGCCAUGCUAAUACCGACCGGCUCCCUCGGGAGGCCGGCAUGAGUUAGACUCAACUUCUCGGUGCAAGGGCUGAGGGCG